rnacentral:rRNA from 1 species
AUUGAACGCUGGCGGCAUGCCUUACACAUGCAAGUCGAACGGUAACAGGUCUUCGGAUGCUGACGAGUGGCGAACGGGUGAGUAAUACAUCGGAACGUGCCUAGUAGUGGGGGAUAACUACUCGAAAGAGUGGCUAAUACCGCAUGAGAUCUACGGAUGAAAGCAGGGGAUCGCAAGACCUUGUGCUACUAGAGCGGCCGAUGGCAGAUUAGGUAGUUGGUGGGAUAAAAGCUUACCAAGUCGACGAUCUGUAGCUGGUCUGAGAGGACGAUCGGCCACACUGGGACUGAGACACGGCCCAGACUCCUACGGGAGGCAGCAGUGGGGAAUGUUGGACAAUGGGCGAAAGCCUGAUCCAGCAAUGCCGCGUGCAGGAUGAAGGCCUUCGGGUUGUAAACUGCUUUUGUACGGAACGAAAAGCCCCGGGUUAAUACCCUGGGGUCAUGACGGUACCGUAAGAAUAAGCACCGGCUAACUACGUGCCAGCAGCCGCGGUAA